CAAAAGAACAUUAUAUCAAGCUGGUGUUCUAAAGUUGUAUGGUAAUUUUAGGCUUAAAAAAAAUGUUGGAAAUUCAAUUAUAUCAUUUGUGUUCUAUAACUGAACUUGUUAUCAAUAAGAUAUGUACAGUUCCAUGUUACUUUCUACUCUAAGAUACAAUUUAUGUAUUUUUAAGUUAAUAAGAGCCUAAUCUGUGUGAAGGUUUUAUUGCAAAACACAAAAGUACAUUACUACUUUUCUACAAGAGGUUAAAAGCUUUCAGCCUUUAAUUCAUAUUUUAGGUGUGAUAUUAUGUUGUGUUAGCUAAUGUUCAUGUAAACUUGAACAACAAUUUAUGUAAACUUUGUAAAAUGAUCAGCUUCAGAACUAUAGUACUUGAGAUUUAUAAAGAGCCCUGCCUUACUUGAGAUAAGGCUCUGUCCCAUCUCACUACAUGUGAAAAUGGCUAUGAAAAAAAGUAAGCCAGAUUUCAGUACAGUUAAAGUUGUGUCCAAAAGUAGGUUUUUGCCAAGAUUACUAGGAUCUCAAACAGGAAAUUAUGAUGUAUAACCCUGCCAGAAUUCAAGGUAGCUAUUAUAUAAGCUAAAUAUGUUUUUACCCUAGUUAGUUUUGUUUUGUAGUUUGCUUAUAGAUGGUUUAAGGAUUGCCUAUUAAUAUUCUAAAGAGGUAUUGCUUUAAGAACACAACCUGGGUCAACAUAAGAUAAAGAGUUAUCACCUACAGGAUAGAGAGAUAGACAUUAAAGCCCAGUGCUCUUAAUAUAAGGCUGUUAACUUAUUUGCUGGAUGUUUAAGAUCAAGUUUUUAAAAUUAGUUAAAUUAAAAGGGCCAAGAAAACCAAUAUUUGGCUCUUGCCCUCUGAGUCAGUCUGAAUCAGGGAAUAGGGGACUUCUCCAAAGGGCUCAGCAACUCUAGGCCACAUAACCUCCUGAGCAGGGAGAUUAAUGAGACCAGUGGAGGACAGAAAGCCAAAUGGUGCAUUUGCUGUAAAGAGGAGGGUCAUUAAAAAAGGGAGACAUCCCUGAUGCUUCUGAGGGAAGCCAUAUGGUCAAACAAGGCCUGGACCCAUCCUAGCGCAAAUGGCACUAGCAGAACUGAAAAGCUGCUAUGAAGUUCCCGAGGACUCCCAGGAUAACUCAGCUGACUGUAAACAAUAGGUAGAAACAAAAGUCAGUUUGACUUGCUUCAUCUUAAACACUUAGCAAAGACAGUCAAAGCCAAAGCACAGCUGUUCCUGGACAUCUUAAAUGAUAAUAAUAAUUAAAUGUAACUUCCAUAAAUAAAUAGACUGGAGGCUACAAGAGAGAUUCUUAGACAGAAAUGCCUGAUAACUGUCAAAGGAACUACUAGAAUAGUUUUAGUCUAAGGCUUUUAUUUCUAGACAACACAGGUAGACUUGAUGUUUGCUAAUAUGGUUAUCCAGCCCUAAGUAGCAGAAUUAAAGAUUUCUCUAUUAGACACAGAGGAGAAACAAAAGGUUCUUUUGGAAGCUCGCAAAAAUGUGCCAGGGGACGACGGGCGCCCCACCCAACUCACAAAUUUGAUUAACGAAGCUUUUCCUUUAACCCGGCCAAACUGGGACUAUGCGACUGAAGCAGACUCAUUUGCAUGCUUUGCAAUUGGUCCAGAACGAGGUCUGGAAGCCUCUAGCCGCAGCAUACAAAGAGGAACUUAAAACCCCCUUGCUGCCACAUCCCUUCAAGGUCGGAGAUACCGUCUGGGUACGCAGGCACCAGAGCAGGAACCUCGAACCGCGGUGGAAAGGACCCUACACUAUCCUGCUGACCACUCCUACUGCACUCAAAGUGGACGGCAUCGCUGCUUAGAUCCAUGCUUCCCACGUGAAGACUGCACAUCCACAGGAGUCCGCAGACACCUCUCCGGAUCCAGAAUGGAAGUUGCAACGUACCCAAAAUCCGCUAAAGAUAAGACUCACUCGCUGUUGAUUUUUCUUGCUUUGUGCUGUGUCUUCCCCAUAUCAGUUAACCCCAACCAAUCUGUGAGCCAGACAUGACAAGUAUUAUCGGGGACAAGAAAUAUAAUUUAAAAAAAAAAAAAAAGAAAAUCCGCAAAAUACCCCCUUUGGGCUUGAUGGCCUACCCUAGGGCCUGAAAACUAAGUCGCAGGCACAAAAAUGUGGACAACAUGAAAGUUACUAUUGUAAGUCUUGGGGAUAUAAAACUACGGGGGAUGCAUAGUAGAAGCCAAGCUCAUCUUAGGAUUUAAUUCAAAUAAAAAAAAAAAAAAAAAACAGGAUCCCCCACUUUCUGCCGACUCUUGCAGGAGCCUGAAAUGGUACGGGGCAGGGCCAUGUACCGCAUUUGCCUGCAACCCCUUAAACAUUACCUUUACUCAGGCAGGCAAAGCAUCAAAAGAUUAGAUAAAAGGAAAACAAUGGGGCCUGAGAGUAUAUCAUAAAACUGCCUAUGACCCUGGGGUCCUAUUCAAAAUUAGAUUAAUAGUAAAUACCAACCCCCAACCAGUAUGCUGAGCCGUCAGCUGAAAUAAUGCUGGAAUCCGAGCAGAUGGGUCAAUGGAUAUAAGAUUAUAUCCAUGAUAUAAAAAAAGGGGGGAAUGAAGGACCCCAAGGCCCCAGGCCCAACAUUAGGAAAACUAACCCCUGUGCCCUGAAGCUGCAAGAUGUUCCCUUACCCAACCCCCAUGUCAAAACCCCACCAGCUGCACGUAGCACUUCAAGUCUCGCACAAUGUUACCACAAGAUGUUCCAUAUAGAUAACCCCGGAAGGGCCAAACUUGAGCAAACAGGGUAAAAACAGGAACUAAAAGGACAGGAUGCAAUUUUAUGGUUUUUCUGAGAACUAAAGUGGGAAAACAAGUUUACCCCCCUAGGUGACUCAACUGCUGAAUUCAGAGGGACCAAUAGGAAGGCUGUUGCUGUGCUAAGCUAAGACCUAACCCACCUGUUCCCUAUAAAAGAUCUAUACCCCAAAGCCCGGUGUGCCAGUUCACCGAAGCUCCGGCUGAGGUUUUGCUGUGCACCCGCAGGCGCCUGUGUGAGAAUAAACGCCUCCUGCUUUUUGCA